rnacentral:rRNA from 1 species
UACGGGGGGGGUAAGCGUUGUUCGGAAUUACUGGGCGUAAAGGGCUCGUAGGCGGCCAACUAAGUCAGACGUGAAAUCCCUCAGCUUAACUGGGGAACUGCGUCUGAUACUGGAUGGCUUGGAUUCGGGAGAGGAAUGCGGAAUUCCAGGUGUAGCGGUGAAAUGCGUAGAUAUUGGGAAGAACACCGGUGGCGAAGGCGGCGACCUGGUCCGUUACUGACGCUGAGGCGCGACAGCGUGGGGAGCAAACAGG